UAAGUCGAGGAAUACUUCUCGGGAAACUGAGGUUAAUACUCGAUAGGAGAUUUACCCUGAAAUGAUUUAUCUCUAAAAUUCGUGCUUAAGGAUGGGGCUGCGGCGGAUUAGGUUGUUGGCGGGGUAAAAGCCCACCAAGCCGAUGAUCCGUAAGGGCUCUUAGCGGAGAGGCCCUGAGAGGGAAUCUGAGACACUAUUCCCAGCCCUACGGGGUGCAGCAGUUAGGAAUCUUCUGCAAUGCGCGCAAGCGUGACAGAUUGAGCCAGAGUGCUUUUCAUUUGAAAAGCUUUUGCCAAAUGCAAAAAGUUUGGCGAAUAAGGACUGGGUAAGACGGGUGCCAGCCGCCGCGGUAAUACCCGCGGUCCAAGUCGCAGCCAUCAUUAUUGGGUCUAAAACAUCCGUAGCUUGUUUAGUAAGUUUCUUGUGAAAUUCUAUAUCUCAAAUAUAGAGCGGGCAAGAAAUACUGCUAAACUGGAGACUGGAAGACGUAAGAAGUACGUUUGGAGUAGCGGUAAAAUGUGUUAAUCCCAGACGAACUAACAAGAGCGAAGGCAUCUUACGAGGACAGUUCUGACAGUAAGGGAUGAAGGCUAGGGGCGCAAAACGGAUUAGAUACCCGUGUAGUCCUAGCAGUAAACACUGCACACUAAACAUUAGUACCUCCUCGAGAGGUGUUAGUGCUGAAGGGAAGCCGAAGAGUGUGCUACCUGGGAAGUAUAGUCGCAAGGCUGAAACUUAAAGGAAUUGGCGGGGGAGCACAA
rnacentral:rRNA from 1 species